rnacentral:rRNA from 1 species
UACGUAGUGGGCAAGCGUUGUCCGGAAUCAUUGGGCGUAAAGCGCGUGUAGGCGGCCAGAAAAGUCCGCUGUGAAAACUCGAGGCUCAACUUCGAGCUGUCGGUGGAAACUUUCUGGCUAGAGUCCGGAAGAGGAGAAUGGGAUUCCUGGUGUAGCGGUGAAAUGCGCAGAUAUCAGGAAGAACACCCGUGGCGAAGGCGGCUCUCUGGGACGGUACUGACGCUGAGACGCGAAAGCGUGGGGAGCGAACAGG